rnacentral:tRNA from 1 species
GGGGCUAUAGCUCAGCUGGGAGAGCGCUUGCAUGGCAUGCAAGAGGUCACGGGUUCGAGCCCCGUUAGCUCCA